GGUCAAGUGAAGAAGCGCAUACGGUGGAUGCCUUGGCAGUCAGAGGCGAUGAAAGACGUGGUAGCCUGCGAAAAGCUUCGGGGAGUCGGCAAACAGACUUUGAUCCGGAGAUCUCUGAAUGGGGGGAACCCACCUAGGAUAACCUAGGUAUCUUGUACUGAAUCCAUAGGUGCAAGAGGCGAACCAGGGGAACUGAAACAUCUAAGUACCCUGAGGAAAAGAAAUCAACCGAGAUUCCCUUAGUAGUGGCGAGCGAACGGGGAUUAGCCCUUAAGCUUCAUUGAUUUUAGCGGAACGCUCUGGAAAGUGCGGCCAUAGUGGGUGAUAGCCCCGUACGCGAAAGGAUCUUUGAAGUGAAAUCGAGUAGGACGGAGCACGAGAAACUUUGUCUGAACAUGGGGGGACCAUCCUCCAAGGCUAAAUACUACUGACUGACCGAUAGUGAACCAGUACCGUGAGGGAAAGGCGAAAAGAACCCCGGAGAGGGGAGUGAAAUAGAACCUGAAACCGUAUGCGUACAAGCAGUGGGAGCCUACUUGUUAGGUGACUGCGUACCUUUUGUAUAAUGGGUCAGCGACUUAUAUUCAGUGGCAAGCUUAACCGUAUAGGGUAGGCGUAGCGAAAGCGAGUCUUAAUAGGGCGUUUAGUCGCUGGGUAUAGACCCGAAACCGGGCGAUCUAUCCAUGAGCAGGUUGAAGGUUAGGUAACACUGACUGGAGGACCGAACCCACUCCCGUUGAAAAGGUAGGGGAUGACUUGUGGAUCGGAGUGAAAGGCUAAUCAAGCUCGGAGAUAGCUGGUUCUCCUCGAAAGCUAUUUAGGUAGCGCCUCAUGUAUCACUCUGGGGGGUAGAGCACUGUUUCGGCUAGGGGGUCAUCCCGACUUACCAAACCGAUGCAAACUCCGAAUACCCAGAAGUGCCGAGCAUGGGAGACACACGGCGGGUGCUAACGUCCGUCGUGAAAAGGGAAACAACCCAGACCGCCAGCUAAGGUCCCAAAGUUGUGGUUAAGUGGUAAACGAUGUGGGAAGGCUUAGACAGCUAGGAGGUUGGCUUAGAAGCAGCCACCCUUUAAAGAAAGCGUAAUAGCUCACUAGUCGAGUCGGCCUGCGCGGAAGAUGUAACGGGGCUCAAACCACACACCGAAGCUGCGGGUGUCACGUAAGUGACGCGGUAGAGGAGCGUUCUGUAAGCCUGUGAAGGUGAGUUGAGAAGCUUGCUGGAGGUAUCAGAAGUGCGAAUGCUGACAUGAGUAACGACAAUGGGUGUGAAAAACACCCACGCCGAAAGACCAAGGGUUCCUGCGCAACGUUAAUCGACGCAGGGUUAGUCGGUUCCUAAGGCGAGGCUGAAAAGCGUAGUCGAUGGGAAACAGGUUAAUAUUCCUGUACUUCUGGUUACUGCGAUGGAGGGACGGAGAAGGCUAGGCCAGCUUGGCGUUGGUUGUCCAAGUUUAAGGUGGUAGGCUGAAAUCUUAGGUAAAUCCGGGGUUUCAAGGCCGAGAGCUGAUGACGAGUCGUCUUUUAGAUGACGAAGUGGUUGAUGCCAUGCUUCCAAGAAAAGCUUCUAAGCUUCAGGUAACCAGGAACCGUACCCCAAACCGACACAGGUGGUCGGGUAGAGAAUACCAAGGCGCUUGAGAGAACUCGGGUGAAGGAACUAGGCAAAAUGGCACCGUAACUUCGGGAGAAGGUGCGCCGGCUAGGGUGAAGGAUUUACUCCGUAAGCUCUGGCUGGUCGAAGAUACCAGGCCGCUGCGACUGUUUAUUAAAAACACAGCACUCUGCAAACACGAAAGUGGACGUAUAGGGUGUGACGCCUGCCCGGUGCCGGAAGGUUAAUUGAUGGGGUUAGCGCAAGCGAAGCUCUUGAUCGAAGCCCCGGUAAACGGCGGCCGUAACUAUAACGGUCCUAAGGUAGCGAAAUUCCUUGUCGGGUAAGUUCCGACCUGCACGAAUGGCGUAACGAUGGCGGCGCUGUCUCCACCCGAGACUCAGUGAAAUUGAAAUCGCUGUGAAGAUGCAGUGUAUCCGCGGCUAGACGGAAAGACCCCGUGAACCUUUACUGUAGCUUUGCACUGGACUUUGAGCCUGCUUGUGUAGGAUAGGUGGGAGGCUUUGAAGCGUGGACGCCAGUUCGCGUGGAGCCAUCCUUGAAAUACCACCCUGGCAUGCUUGAGGUUCUAACUCUGGUCCGUAAUCCGGAUCGAGGACAGUGUAUGGUGGGCAGUUUGACUGGGGCGGUCUCCUCCUAAAGAGUAACGGAGGAGUACGAAGGUGCGCUCAGACCGGUCGGAAAUCGGUCGCAGAGUAUAAAGGCAAAAGCGCGCUUGACUGCGAGACAGACACGUCGAGCAGGUACGAAAGUAGGUCUUAGUGAUCCGGUGGUUCUGUAUGGAAGGGCCAUCGCUCAACGGAUAAAAGGUACUCCGGGGAUAACAGGCUGAUACCGCCCAAGAGUUCAUAUCGACGGCGGUGUUUGGCACCUCGAUGUCGGCUCAUCACAUCCUGGGGCUGAAGCCGGUCCCAAGGGUAUGGCUGUUCGCCAUUUAAAAGUGGUACGCGAGCUGGGUUUAGAACGUCGUGAGACAGUUCGGUCCCUAUCUGCCGUGGACGUUUGAGAUUUGAGAGGGGCUGCUCCUAGUACGAGAGGACCGGAGUGGACGAACCUCUGGUGUUCCGGUUGUCACGCCAGUGGCAUUGCCGGGUAGCUAUGUUCGGAAAAGAUAACCGCUGAAAGCAUCUAAGCGGGAAACUUGCCUCAAGAUGAGAUCUCACUGGGAACUUGAUUCCCCUGAAGGGCCGUCGAAGACUACGACGUUGAUAGGCUGGGUGUGUAAGCGUUGUGAGGCGUUGAGCUAACCAGUACUAAUUGCCCGUGAGGCUUGACCAU
rnacentral:rRNA from 1 species